AUACGGAGGGUGCAAGCGUUACACGGAAUCACUGGGCGUGAAGCGCGCGCAGGCGGGCUGAUAAGUUGGAUGUGAAAGCCUACGGCUCAACCGUAGAACUGCAUCCAAAACUGUCAAGCUAGAGUCUGGGAGGGGAAGAUGGAAUUAGUUGUGUAGGGGUAAAAUCCGUAGAGAUACCUAGGAAUACCAAAAGCGAAGGCGAUCUUCUGGAACAGUACUGACGCUGAGGCGCGAAAGCGUGGGGAGCAAACAGGAUUAGAAACCCCAGUAGUCC
rnacentral:rRNA from 1 species